UUCUCUAUGCAGCAGGCGCGAAAACUCCGCUAUGCGCGAAAGCGCGACGGGGUCACUCCGAGCGCCGCCCGCUGAGGGUGGCUUUUGCCCAGUCCAAAAGGCUGGGCGAAUAAGGGGAGGGCAAGUUUGGUGUCAGCCGCCGCGGUAAUACCAACUCCCCGAGUGGUCGGGACGAUUAUUGGGCUUAAAGCGUCCGUAGCCGGUCCAGUGUGUCUCUGGUCAAAUCCGGCGUCUCAAGCGCCGGACCGCCGGAGAUACUACCGGGCUAGGGAGCGGGAGAGGCGGGCGGUAUUCCCUGGGUAGGGGUAAAAUCCUAAGAUCCAGGGAGGACCAUCGGUGGCGAAGGCGGCCCGCUAGAACGCGUCCGACGGUGAGGGACGAAAGCUGGGGGAGCGAUCCGGAUUAGAUACCCGGGUAGUCCCAGCUGUAAACGAUGCAGGCUAGGUGUGUGGACGCCUUAGAAGCGUUCAUGUGCCGAAGGGAAACCGUUAAGCCUGCCGCCUGGGGAGUACGGCCGCCAAGGUCUGUAAAUCCCUAGGAGACCCUUAAUUGUAUAUGUA
rnacentral:rRNA from 1 species